rnacentral:misc_RNA from 1 species
GUCUCUCUCUCGCUCGAUUUUCAUCCAUCCUUCGAUUGCACCCAUGUUUCAUACUACAGUGAUCGAAUUCACGAACUUCAUCGAUCCUCGAAAAAAUCCGAAAGAUAUCCCGAUCCACACGAUUCACUGCAUGACAACUACGCGCUUUGUUCAUCCGUUAUAUAAAUAUUUCAUAAAUAUACAAUAGCCGAAUUCGAUCAUCUCUAUCAUUCAUCAAUUUAAUAUCACUUUUUUUCUCGUAAACUAUCGUAAUCUUUGUUUAACAAUUAUUAAAAUCGAACGAUUUUGCGUCGUUGUUUUUGUUGUUCAGGUGACUUAAGCACGAAAAUCUCAAUAAACCACUCUCAAUAUCCGACCAUACCUCGAAUACAUCUUAUUCACUGUCAUUGAGUCAAUUGUAUUAUCAAUGACGACGACGAUGGUCGCCGCCGACUGCGAGAGAGCAAUGAUAGUGAAUUUGAGAAAAUAAAUGUAUAAAAAAAAAAACAGAACAACAAAACGACAAUAAUAAAACAACAACUACAAACAAGCUAAAAACCAACAAAAAAAAAACGAUACCUCACGAGAUCAAGAAUCGUUAAGUGUGUGUUUCAACAAACAAUAUAAAAGUGAGAGUGCAAAGCAGCAACAAAUCCCGAACCAAAUAAACAAAACAAAAACUGGAUUAUCCUUCUUAAGCGCUGCCAGUAGAAAAACAAACAUGUUAUGUGUAUGCUCCAAAGAAAGCAUCGAGAUACGAAAAUAACCAGACGCUCGAGCACCCAGGCAUCCACGAAGAGAACUCCGGCAAAAGUUUUCACCACCGGUCG